UGUUACGCUUCUAAUAAUCCCAUUUAAUGGUAUUAAUAGCACUGUUAUUUCCCCGCUCAUAAACUCAUCUGUUACCCUUGAAUUCACACCUAUACGGUUUUUCUUCUUAUGGAAUCAAACCCAGAAGAAUAACCAAGAUCAGAGUUUGAAGACAGAUUUCCUCAAUUCUUUACGGGCUUCAAUUUAGGAAACUUCUCUGCAACAUGGGAUAAUCAACCAAAAUCCAGCUCAUCAAUUUCAUGUACUGAUUCCAUUUUUAUAUACUGAUUCCAAUUUCGAUCCAGAGAAAUACUGUGGCCGAGCAUUUCGUCUUCUGCAUUUUUGUUAGGUUUAGAAAGAGGAAUUGUGGAUGUUUUGUCUCUUCGCUGUUAGUAGUAUGAUAUAAUUGGUGCGGUCUCGCAUAUGAAAUGUUCUUUCAGACUUCUCUGUCUCGUUGGGGUUAUCAGAAAAGUAACCCGGUAGAAUUAAGGGCGUAUUGUUGCAUAUGGUCCUCAACCGUGCCAAUAAUGUGAAAUCUGGGUUAAAAAGUGUGUUUAUGGUCUUCACAAUUGUUGCAGCUGAUGAACACGAGAUAUAAUUUUAUUGGCUUACAAAAGUUGGAGAAAUCAGUUUGAGGUCACUGAGAAAUCAGUUUGAGGUCACUGAGAUUUACGAGACAUUCGUUAAAUUGUCUGUUGUAUAUUUAUACAAAUUUUGCUCAUUCACUAGACAGAGAAUCACUACUUCUGUUCCAUGUAUUCAGAAAAUAGUACACUCAUUUUGGCACAUGUUAUUCAUUCCAGGCAUUCUAGAAAGCAUGACUAAUAGUACACUCAAUCUCCUAUAUUUGUAUUACUAUGUCCAUUAAAUUCGUUUGAAAAUUGAUUGAGGCAUACAUGUUUGUUUGAAAAUUUUACUUUUGUGGUAACUGAUAAAAGCAGCCCUUCUUAAAAAAAUGUAAUAUUCGGUAGUCUCGCCUUGAGCUUAUUCAUGUGUAGAUAAGGUUACUCAUUUCUUUUAUUAUCAUGAGAACUAAUUUCGACAAUUCUUAAACUCAAAAAAUCUAUAAAUUACUCUUGAAAUUUGGCUGUUUAUGAUAGUUUUGGUUGAACUGAUUAUUUUCUUUCUAUGUUUGCUAGGAUAUAAUGUCCAAAAACUGGUGGUGCGCACAAUUAAGACAGUAAAGUUCUAAUUUGCAACCUUGGACCUACUUCAUUUGCAACUUUGGACCUGCUUCAUUAGAAUUGCAUAUCUAAUGGGGUUUAUUUUAUUGUUUACUGAAAGAUAGUGUACGAUAGCAGUGUUUGAAGGAGAUGGUCAAACUUAACACCUACAUGAAUGAUUGUAUUUGUACGACAAACCUCAAAACCAACAGCUGCAAAAUGUUGAAGAAAGAGGUAGAGGAGAAACAUCGAGAAAAAACACCUAUAAUCGAGCAUUAGUUUUGCUUACCAGGUUUUAUUUUUCUCGGAGCUUUUUCAUAUUCAUCUAUUGCGGUUAGAAUUUUAAAAUGUAGGAAAUGAUUUUGGGCACUUAGAUUUUUAAUCUCGAAUUUGAUCUAGCUAUUUCGCAGUAUCUUUAGAGGAAGUAUACGACGGAUCAGACGGAAAUAUGAUAAUAGUAGUUGAAGAAUCUUAUGAAAUCACUCUUGAAGCCAUGGCACAAAUGGAUAUCAACUUCUGCAUACCUACCAAGUAAGGAUAAAUAAACGACAAUUGAACUUUGAACUGUAUAUAAGAUAUAUAUAUAUAUCUGCUCUAAUUCCUUUAACAAGCUUGCUCUGCACUUCAUCUUCCCAUCCAUAUGCACACGACACGCAUGGAAUAUUGGAAUAUCGGAAACACCUGUGGUUGUUAUGAUCUCAUCGUCCUAUGUAAAAAACAAUUAGGUAAAUAAUCGAGACUACUAUUUCUUUGCACUCCAAUUAAAAUGCUAAAAUUUAACAACUGUUGUUAUAUGUUCAUGUGUCCCCCUAUAUAUUUCUGCACAUGGGAGUAAAUUUAACCAUCCUGCGUCACUACAGCCUAGGUGAGUCUUUAUUUCUCCUAUGGUUUGGAGAUUAAGAAAGAGCUACUUAUAUUUUACCACCAAUUGCCACCAACAAUUCUAUGCUUCAUUAAUGACUACCUCACACAAGCGAGUCUUUGUUUCUCCAUUCUCAAAUUUUUCUUCGGCGAUUUUACAACAUUGAAAAUUUUCCACUCCACCAAGUUGCACUGAUUCCUUACAUUUUCCUUUAGGUAUUGCCUCCCAGCUAUUUGUAGCCUUAUUUUGAUCUCCAUUUGUUAAACUCUCUCCAAUUUUUAGGGAAAUCUUGAGUUUUUUAUGGAUACAUGAUUUGGGUUACAAGACAUCGUUGGAUAUUUACUGUGCUUCUUGAAGUUUUCUGUUCGUGAGAUAAUAAUUACAAAUGUGUAACAAACAUUUGUUGUGUUAGCAACUAGGACCCUUUGUUUGCUUAAGCAAUUAACUGACUGGAAUUAUUUUAAUUUUCAAUUCAUUUGUUUCAAUAUCUAAAAUAUUAAUUGAGCAUGUAAGGGAUUCGUUUGCUUGGAGAAAAGUUUUUUUUUGCCAAACUUUGUAACUCAAAGUCGCAGGUUGUUUCCGUCGAAUUUAUUCGAGUUUGAUAAAGGUUCUUAACAGAAGUGACCGUUUGUACACCAAUUAUUCAUCUUAUUUUUAUAUAAGAUUUGCUAAUAUACUGCAUUGCGGAAUUUCAGAAAUCAUUAGUUAAUUGCAGAAACUUAUCAACGGCUUCCACUACUUGACUUGAAACACGUUAAACAGAAAGUCAGUCGCAGGACACCGUGCUGCAAUUGAUAGUUGAAUGAUGAUAAACUCUUCUUGUGUCAUGGAUUUCAGCCUUCAGUAAAGACUUGAAGAAUAGCCUAGAGGUAUUCAUCAACUCUUUGGAUUCAAUUUUGAACUUUUUAACAUAUAUAUUUGGAAUUUGUGAAGUUCUAUUUUUGGAAAGUCUGAUAGUUCCUUCAUUUUUGGAUGUAUUUCAUCUUAUAUUUAUAAUCUUAUAUUUAUCUAAGCGAAAACAUCUUAUU